rnacentral:rRNA from 1 species
GACGAACGCUGGCGGCGUGCCUAAUACAUGCAAGUUGAGCGAUGAAGAUUGGUGCUUGCCCCAAUUUGAAGAGCAGCGAACGGGUGAGUAACGCGUGGGGAAUCUGCCUUUGAGCGGGGGACAACAUUUGGAAACGAAUGCUAAUACCGCAUAACAACUUUAAACAUAAGUUUUAAGUUUGAAAGAUGCAAUUGCAUCACUCAAAGAUGAUCCCGCGUUGUAUUAGCUAGUUGGUGAGGUAAAGGCUCACCAAGGCGAUGAUACAUAGCCGACCUGAGAGGGUGAUCGGCCACAUUGGGACUGGGACACGGCCCAAACUCCUACGGGAGGCAGCAGUAGGGAAUCUUCGGCAAUGGACGAAAGUCUGACCGAGCAACGCCGCGUGAGUGAAGAAGGGUUUCGGAUCGUAAAACUCUGUUGGUAGAGAAGAACGUUGGUGAGAGUGGAAAGCUCAUCAAGUGACGGUAACUACACAGAAAGGGACGGCUAACUACGUG